GUGGGGAAUAUUGGACAAUGGGGGGAACCCUGAUCCAGCCAUGCCGCGUGUGUGAAGAAGGCCUUUUGGUUGUAAAGCACUUUAAGCGAGGAGGAGGCUACCGAGAUUAAUACUCUUGGAUAGUGGACGUUACUCGCAGAAUAAGCACCGGCUAACUCUGUGCCAGCAGCCGCGGUAAUACAGAGGGUGCAAGCGUUAAUCGGAUUUACUGGGCGUAAAGCGCGCGUAGGUGGCCAAUUAAGUCAAAUGUGAAAUCCCCGAGCUUAACUUGGGAAUUGCAUUCGAUACUGGUGGGGUAGAGUAUGGGAGAGGAUGGUAGAAUUCCAGGUGUAGCGGUGAAAUGCGUAGAGAUCUGGAGGAAUACCGAUGGCGAAGGCAGCCAUCUGGCCUAAUACUGACACUGAGGUGCGAAAGCAUGGGGAGCAAACAGGAUUAGAUACCCGUGUAGUCC
rnacentral:rRNA from 1 species